CAUUUCGGAAAAGGAAAUUCAUACUUCAAAGCCCUGACUAAUCAUAAAGUGAUGCAAAUCUGAAAGGAAACACUUAGAUUGUAUUUUUACCCAGCUGAGCAGUCAGAUGUUUGGAAAUGCCCUGGAUUUUUCUAAAUAUUUCCUCCUGUUAACAGCAAAACAGCUCAGAUGCUCCAGGAACAAAAGAGACACUUUCAAACCUUUACCCUAUCUAUUUCUCUUAUUACAGCCGCUCCAUUCCAGUUCCAAUAAGAAGUCUAGUUGUAAAGGCCUUAAAACUAAAAUGUUUACUGGAGCUGCCACAAAAAAAAAAAAAAAAAAAAAAAACUAUUUUUAUGAAAAAUACUAAGAAGUUCAAGUCUGGGAAUAUACAUAGAACUUCAAAUGAGAGGCUGGAAAAAGAAGGAGGUGAUGAAGGACUUAGCACAUUUUCAGUUUGUUUCUCUUACAACCUGUGAGAGAACCCAGACAGCCCGUGGGCUCCAGGAGAAAACCCAAGAUGGCCGCCAUCCAGGGAGUUUGGCAAAAGCCCGGGCAAGGAGAGGCCGCAGGGAGCUGGGCUCCCCAACGGGAAGGUGGUGACAGCGGCAGCUGAGCUACAUGGCCUGCAAGCCCAGAGGACAAACUCUGGCAAUGGCUUAAGCAGGGCCCCGUGGCCUUUUCUUCAAAAGUGAAGAUGGAGGCAUCUGGUCAACCACAGCCAAGACCAUCUGGAGCCCAGAAGGACAGGCACAGCAGAAGGAAGGGGAGAUGGCUCAUUUCAGCUGCUUGGACACACCCGCCUUGGAAGGGAGCCUCCCCAGAGCAUGCGGCUGCUACUGUUGCCCUCAGGGUCUCUUCUCCAGGUUGUUCUACACUCAGGUUUCACUCCGGGCACAUUAGACUGGAUCAGAGGCUCUGCUACGACCAGCGUGUGUGUUAGUCACUCAGUCGUGUCCUACUCUUUGUGACCCCAUGGACUGUAGCCCACCAGGCUCAUCUGUUCAUGGAAUUCUCCAGGCCAAGAAUACUGGAGUGGGCUAUCAUUCCCUUCUCCAGGGGAUCUUCCCAACCCAGGGAUCGAACCCAGAUCUCCCACACUGCAGGCAGGUUCUUUACUAUCUGAGCCACCUGGGAAGCCCCUGCUACAACUCACUGAACGGUGACGUGCCAAGAAGUUAAAACCGAAGCAACAUGAUGAUGCUUGAAGAGACUCCAGGGCUGGGGCUUCCACGGUGGCUCAGUGGUAAAGAACCUGCCUGUCAGUGCAGGGGACAUGGGUUCAGUCACUGAUCCAGGAAGAUCCCGAAUGCCGCAGAGCAGCCAGGCCCGCCUGCCGCAGCUACUGAGCCUGCGCGUUGCGACUGCUGAAGCCCACACACCUUAGAGCCUGUGCUCGGAAACAAGAGGAGCCACUGGCAAUGAGAAUCCCGGCACCACAGCUAGAGAGCAGCCCCUCGCUCGCCGCAACUAGAGAAAAACCCGAGCAGCAACUAAGACCCAGCAUAGCCCAAAAUAAAUAAAUACAUAAAAAUCA
rnacentral:lncRNA from 1 species